AAAUAUUAGCGCAGCGCCCGCCCGCCGCCCGAGCCAUAAUUAUUCAUGCUGCGCAGCGCAGCGCCCGCCCCCUCUCUCACGUGAUCCUCUUCUGACUCCGAGUCCAGGCACUGCAGUUUCCAUAGCAGCGCACGCCGCACAGAUCAACGAUGAUCAUCAUUUGAGUCUGACUGACUGUAAGCCCGCCCCCAGCCAGCAGCAGGACUGAUAGCCGAGCCCAGAGCUGUAAACCUGGC